ACAAACUUGGUCAUUUAGAGGAAGUAAAAGUCGUAACAAGGUUUCCGUAGGUGAACCUGCGGAAGGAUCAUUACUGGGUUUUAUUCAAAAAACACCCACCCUCUGUCAUCUUGUACUCUGACUUGUUUCGGCCCCCCUAAUCAGCGGGUCGGCAGCAACUCUGAAGAAAAUCUUGAAGUCUGAUGCAAAACAUACAAAUCUGAAUAAAAACUUUCAACAACGGAUCUCUUGGUUCUGGCAUCGAUGAAGAACGCAGC
rnacentral:misc_RNA from 1 species